rnacentral:tRNA from 1 species
AGCUUUAUAUUCAAUAAUGAUAUUAGACUGCAAUUCUAAAGGAGAAAAAAUAAUUUCUAAAGCUU